AGGCUUAAAAAUUCUUCUCGCAAAUUAGUCGCAAUCUGUGCAAUUAGUUAUUUUUUUAGCCUAUAUUUAAUACUUUAAAACAUUUCCUUUUUUUUAUGGUGAGGCCCACCUGUUGUAUAUGCUCUAUCACCUCCUCAUCCCCUCUUCCACUCUCUCUUCUCAUGCCGUCGGUCUCUCUCUCUCUCUCUCUCUCCGCCUCUCUUUCUCGGGCCGUCGGGCGCAGGUUGAGCGGCGGCGGGCAGGCAGCGCGCACAGCGGCGCGCGGGGGAGGGUGGUGGGCGACAACGACGGGUCGACGAGCGUGUGGCAUGACAUGCCCGUGUGUCUCCUCGUCCUCGGCUUCUCCCUCCACGUGUCAUCGCCUGGCUCCGAGUGAUGGGCGGCGGUGACGAGCGUGGCGGCGGCGGUGGCAGCGUUCAUGGCGAUGUUCACGCUGGGAUACGAGUCGGGAGGGUCGCGCUAGGGCUCACCAUCGACACGCCGAGGGGGCAGCGCUCGGCCGGCUCCGGUGGUGGCGGUGGCGGUGAGGACGGCGUGACGUGGAGCAAGGCGGUUGCGGCGACAACAGCGGGAUGUGGAGCAAGGCGGCGGCGGCGGCGACGACGACGGCAGCGGGAUCCUCCUUCCCCAUCGUCACGCGACGCGAAGCUCGGACACGCCGGUGCUACUGCACCGCCCCCUUUCCUUCCCUGCGCGGAGCCCACCGACCAGUUCCCCUCCUCGUUUCGCGCCGCCGCCCACUGCCCACCCCACGUGUAGCCGUCCGCCGCCAGAGCGAGCCCCACCUCCCCCGUCGGCCACUCGAGCUACCUCCUCCUCCAUCGGCCGCCCGAGCGACCUCCACCUCCGCCACAGCCGCCAGCGCCCGAGCAAGCUCUGCCUACCCUUGCCCCCACCCUCGCCCGUCCAUCGCUAUUCUCGGUGCCGCCGUGGUGGUGAGCUGGUGAGGGGAGGGAGAAGAGAGAGAGGGGGAGAGAUUGGGGAUAGAGAUAGAGUAGAGAGAGAUAGAGAGGAGUAGGAACUAACAGGUGGGACCCAUCGUUUUUUAUUAAAAGAACUGCUGACUGAACUACCAUGUAUGACUAAAACCACCGUAGAUUGAGCUGGGGGGUUAUUUAUCCAGUUUAUAUAGUUGGGGGUGAAGGAUGUCCGGUUUUGUGGUUCGGGGAGUAAUUCAGUCGACCGUGAUAGUUCGAGAGGUGGUAUGUAAGAAAUGAGAUGAUGUUCACUCGAAGGAUGAAAAACCAUCUUCACAUAUCAUCUCAUAUGUUCAAUUUUUUUCUAUGUUCAAUAGUUGUUGUCAAGAUAUUGCGGAUAGAUAUACAAACAGAUAUACCUCCCACUCAGGUAAAAUAUUGCAACCAAAAGUUGUUAUCGGUAGGGAUGAAAACGAUAGCGGUAAUUACUAACCGGCCAAGUUGCUGUUUCCGAAGUUUACCGACUGAAUAAUACGGAAAUGAUAAUUCCUGGAAACGGAAGCGGUAAAAAAAUACAAAAAAUGGUUUGGUGAUUUGCCAACCGUUUUGUUCGAUUACUGUAUUAUUAUUAUUAUGGUAAUUACUGUUUACAUAUUUUGGUAAA